CCCAUGUCUCAGCGUCAAGAGUGAUUUUGCUGGACUUUUAAAGUUCACACUAUGCACAGCACUGUGAGCUCUGCCUUGGAAGUUCCGAGUAAAGGUUGUAUCACGAGCUUUCUGCAUGCCUGAACUGGAUGGGGGUUGAAUAUCUGCACUCAUGCAGAGAACACGGAAACUCUCACUCCCCAUGGGACAUUUCGACAGGCCUAUCUGGAGUCCAGUGUUAGCAGUGGAGGAGCGACGUCCCUUCUUCGCCGCAGCUACUUCUACCUCCCUGUAGAGCUUAUGAUGCUUAGACAGUGAACAAUCAUCCUCCUGAGGGGUGUUUCUCAUCCUCGGCCUUAACAGGCUGUAUGGCACACUGG